GUUAAUUUGGAUGCCUUUUAUUUCUGUUGUCGGCAUGCUGAGGCUAGGAAUUCCAGUGAGAGUAGAUGGUUCCUGUCUUGUUCCUGAGCACAGAGGAAAAGCUCUUAGUUUUUCCCCAUUGAGGAUGAUCUUAGCUGGGAGUUUAUUAUAGAAGGCCUUCAUGAUGUUGAGUAAGAAGAUCUGGGGUCAGGAGAGCCAGGGUCUGACCUGGCAGGUCUCAGGCCACUGUCACUGAGCUCAUUGCUCUGCCCCUCCAGGCCCGUUUCCCCACCUACACACUCACUGAGGACAGCUGGCCUGGCUGCUUUCUCUCGGAGGAACAUGUGGGCAUCUCCAGGCUCUUCCCCUGUCCUGAGCUGACUUGUAUAUCACCCAAGUAAGAAGAGAAUGUAUUCUCCUUGUAAACAACUAAAACAAUGCAGAAGAUUUCAGCUUCUGGGGUCAGAGAAACUGGAGUCACCCUCCCACUUUAAAUAACCAAAUCAACAGACAAAAUAUGUGACCCGAUGCUGUCCAGCUGUUGGACAGAACAGGGAUUCCAGAGAAAAAGAAACACAAGCAAAUGAGGUGAGACUUGUGGUUGUGGAGAAUACAGCCUGGACAGAGUCUCCAGGUCUCCAGGCAGGGUGGGGGAAGCCACGCAGCCCAGCCAGCUCCCUUACUUGAGGCAGACUGGGGAACUUAGGGGGCAGAGGCUAGGUAGAAUUUUCGGAUCAGAGCACUGGAAAGAAGACAGAGGCACUGAGAAUGAAAAGUGGCAUGGAGAGGAGGAAGGUCCCAGAGAGAGCCUUCAGACCCGUGCAGAGGGCCCCCCUCACCCAGUUAGCCGAGAACAGAUUGGCCCCUACAUGUAAGAUGACCCAACGCUGACCAAAGGACCACUCCCCACCCCGAAGGAAUGGGCAGAACUAAAUCCCCAAAGUUCACAGGGGGACGGAAAUAGUUGAAGUCCCCACCAGCCAGAUUGGGAAACCUCAUGAUAAACAGGGCAGAACACUGAGAACCCCAUGACCUCAGAAGUAGGACAAAAUUAGUUCUUCACUAAGAGAUGUGCUGGUCUCUUUAACAAAGCUCAAAAGCAAGCCUCAAAGGAAUAAAACGAUCUCCAAAUAACUUAUUUACAUUCCACAACAAAGCUUAAGAAUAUUUACAGGAACACAACAAUAUCCAACACAUUUUAAUAAGGUAAAAUGUCUGGCAUCUGUUAAAAGUUAGGCAUAUAAAGAAGUAGAAAUAAGUAAAAACAGACACAGAAAUCACAGGUAAGGGCUGAGUAGACAUUAAAGCAGUUAUAACUGUAUUCUGUAUUUUCAAGAAGGUAGAGGAAAGCAUGAGCAUGUUAAAAAGAAAUAUGGAAACAAUAUUUUUAAUACCUCAGUGAAACUUCUAGUGAUGAAAAAAUUUUUCUGAUACGAAAAAUACACUGGAGAUUAACAGCAAAUGAAGAGGAGAAAGGAUUAGUAAAACCUGCACUUCCCUGGCUUUAGGCCCACCUGUCUGCCUAAUCUGGCCUUAGACUGAGCAUUUAUUUAAGAAUAAAAUCAUGGUAGUGGUCUGGAAAAAAAAAAGGAAAGAAAGAAAGGAUUAGUGAACUUGAUGACAUAGUCGUAGAAACUAUCCAAAAUGAAACGCACCAAUGUGAAAAGACUGGAAAGAACAAAACAAAACAGAGCAUCAAUGAGAUGGGGCAACUUCUGUUGGGUUAAUGUACAAAUUAGGAACCCCCAAAGGAGAGGAAGAAGAGAAAGAUAUAUAAAGAAAUAAUUAACAAAAAAUUUUCAAAAUCUGUUAAAUCUAUAAAUGCAAGAAGAUCAAUAAACCCAACACAAGAAAUAUAUAAAGGAAACCAUAUAUAUGUUUCAUCAUAAUCCAAUUGCUUAAAAUCAGGUAGAAAAUCUUUUU